UUAAGUUCCAAAAUUUUGUUUAGCUCAUCCGUUACUUUCCGGUUUAGUUACGUUUACUAGUUAUUCUUGUUAUUAAUUUUCACUAUUUGAAAAGUUAUUUUAUAUGUGCAGCUCAACAAUGAAGUAGAGGAUAUGCGGUAUCAACUCGACAUCAACUAUUUAUAAGACUUUUUUGAACAGGUGGACAGCCGGCGCGUGGUAGGAAAGCUCUCUAGCCGUGGAGUGUGAUUUGUAUCAGCGUCUCCCCGGUGGAGAACCAGUACCACCCCAUUCUUGACACGACCUGGACUCAAGACAGCGGACAACAUACUUUUUUGAACAGGUGGACAGCCGGCGCGUGGUAGGAAAGCUCUCUAGCCGUG